UGCCCUAGGAAAAGGGACUCCGCCGGAACUUCUCCAGCUCAGCAGUUCCCCAUUGGACACCCACAGCCUGCCUCGCUGGAUUAGAAGCAGCAGAAAAAGGAGGCCAAAAUGUAGACGUGCUGAUAGAUGCCCAUCAGCGGGCCCCCGGGAGGGCCUGAUCUUUUAUCCUUUCCAACUCUUUCCUGGAGACGCCCGCUGAGGCGCUGUGACUCAGACGCACCAGCAUUCCGAACAGCCAGGGCAGCAGCUCAAAGGCUGGCAGAGACCUGCGGCAGCCGAGGCAGGGAAGGACUGUGCCUCUGACCCGCUGGCAGGUGACUCAGUUGCAGCUCUCACUGGUGCCUUGGAACCCACGAAGGGGCUGUGAUGCACCCACCUGGACCCAGCCAGGGCCACCAGCUGUCAACAUGGCUACCUUCCAUCAAUCCUCACACAGCAGCACCACGGAACUGCCAGGACCUAUCGCCAGCCCCAAGGAGCAACUCUGCUUACCACUCUGGGCCACACACUGUUUUCUUGAAUAUGGAGCCCACCACAUUCCUCCCAGACCUCCCAGUACAACCAGGGCCCAAUACAUGGCCACCGCAAGCGUGUUCCCCUCACUUUGGGAACAUACUUCCCUCUGACCAGAUCCCCAGAUUAGAAAGUCAGAACUCUUUCAGAUUGUUUCCCCCAGCUUCAGCUUCAUGUCCCCACAGUCUUCACAGACCCUGUAGGAAGAGCCACUCUUGUUCCUCUUCCUGUUCGUCUUGAUCCUCUGAGUAGGAACUAAAGGAGCA